GAUGAACGCUGGCGGCGUGCCUAAUACAUGCAAGUCGAGCGAACAGACGAGGAGCUUGCUCCUCUGACGUUAGCGGCGGACGGGUGAGUAACACGUGGAUAACCUACCUAUAAGACUGGGAUAACUUCGGGAAACCGGAGCUAAUACCGGAUAAUAUAUUGAACCGCAUGGUUCAAUAGUGAAAGACGGGUUUGCUGUCAAUUAUAGAUGGAUCCGCGCCGCAUUAGCUAGUUGGUAAGGUAACGGCUUACCAAGGCAACGAUGCGUAGCCGACCUGAGAGGGUGAUCGGCCACACUGGAACUGAGACACGGUCCAGACUCCUACGGGAGGCAGCAGUAGGGAAUCUUCCGCAAUGGGCGAAAGCUUGACGGAGCAACGCCGCGUGAGUGAUGAAGGUCUUCGGAUCGUAAAACUCUGUUAUUAGGGAAGAACAAAUGUGUAAGUAACUAUGCACGUCUUGACGGUACCUAAUCAGAAAGCCACGGCUAACUACGUG
rnacentral:rRNA from 1 species